AUGGAAGCCCUUAAUGACGCUGCCCAUGCAAAGACAGCCUUUUGGCUACCAAAUGCCUCUAUCAUUUUCUAUGGCUCUUCACUGCAGAGAGAGCGAAAGAGAGAGAGGAGUGGGUAGGCUUGUUAUGUACUAGUAGGCAAACAUUUGAGUAAUUCUCCGCGCGCUGGGCAUGAUUGCACAAGUGGUCCCGUGGAGGGGUCCCUAGCCCUACAACGAGUGGAGACAAGCCCGUGAGUUCCAAGAAAGCGACCGUGCGGUGCAGCCGGAGCAGAAGGCAGGUCCAACUAUUUCAACAAGUGUUUAGAAAUCCGUGAUUCCUCUCUGAUUUCGCCCGCAGUUGCGCAUUCCAGAGGGGAGCCGUAGCGGAUGCACCAAACUCUACGCAUAAUUUAUUUAUUCAUUCAUUUCCUAUCACCAGUGACUGCUGCCAACUGAAUGCGUCUGAGUGGUUGAGGGAUAGAUAGCUCUUUGUUUUCGUCCCCCGUCGCCCUCUCUACUUGCUCUAGAACUUCUAACCAAGCUGACCAAGGAUGGACGGGAACCGAACCAUCGACCCAAGCUGCAGUGAAAAACCUCCCGUGGCCAUCGACAUCCUUCUCCAGUUGGACAUCUUUGGUAUCAUCCUGUACUCAGUGCUGACCUUCAUGGCAGUGGUGUCCAUGCUGGUCUACAUAGAGGAGUGUUGGUACAUCUACCGGAAGGUUCCCUCCAACAAGAAGAGCGCCAUCAUCUGGGUCAAUGGGGCAGCGCCGGUGAUUGGCACCAUGUCCUGUCUGGGGAUGUGGAUUCCCCGAGCCACCAUGUUUACUGACAUGACCUCCGCCUGCUACUUUGCGAUCGUAGUGUUUAAGUUCCUGGUGUUAAUGAUCGAGGAGGUGGGGGGUGAUGAGGCGUUUCUACGGCGAGCAGGGAGGAACAAAUUGAAGAUCAGUACUGGUCCCUGUUGCUGCUGCUGCUGCCUCUGUCUACCCUAUGUCAACAUCACACGACGGAGUUUGUUCCUGCUGAAGUUGGGGUCGUUUCAGUUCGCCCUGAUGAAGGUUGUCUUCACCAUUCUGUCAGUCAUCCUCUGGACCAAUGGCAACUUCGACGUUACAGAUGGACCAUCUACACACACUCCCAACGCCGUAUGUGUUUCAGACCGCGGUAACAGGAGCGUCCAUCUGGAUAUCCCUGGGAGUGGGGGUCCUGACCAUCAUAGCACUGUGGCCUGUAGCCAUCAUGUUCAUGCAUCUCAGGACCACGCUGCGCAGCCUCAAGAUCAUUCCCAAAUACGCCAUGUACCAGCUGGUGCUAGUGCUGAGUCAGCUCCAGUCUGCCAUCAUCAACAUCCUUGCUAUGAUGGGAACUAUCGCCUGCACCCCGCCAUACUCCUCUCAGGCCAGGGGAUACUUGAUGAGUCAACAGUUGUUAAUCCUGGAGAUGUUCAUCAUCACCUUGGUAACCCGCCUGUUGUAUCGUCGCCAGUACGAGCCACUCCCUGACGACGAGCAUGAUGACGACCACACUAAGAUUGGUCUAUCAGUCGAGAGAACUCUGGCAUAGCUUUCGUAGCUGCAACUCCCCAACGGGCUCGGGAGAGGCGAAGGUCGAGUCAUGCGUCCUCAGAAACAUGGCCUGCCAAGCCGUGCUUCUUAACAUCUGCUUGCUUUUUCUGGAAGCCAGCUGCACCAAUGUGUCAGAAAACACUGUGCAACUGAUGACCGAGGUCAGCCUGCAGGCGCCCGGCCCGCCACAGGGGGUCGCUAGAGCGCGAUGAGCCAAGUAAAGCCCCACGUUGGCCAAACCCUCCCCUAACCUGGACGACGUUGGGCCAAUUGUGCGCCGCCCUAUGGGACUCCCGGUCAUACCGCAACACUGCGAUGCAGUGCCUUUGUCCACUGCGCCACUCGGGUAUAAGAACACUUUAAGUCAUUUCAAGAACAACGGGAAUAAACUAAAUAGAUUUAUUAUGUAUUAACUAUGUUAUUUAUGUUACUGAAAGAAUCCAGAACAAACGGAUGCAUUUUUAUUCUAUUAUCAGAAAGAGAGUGUCUGACGUGCCCUGGGGGGAGGAUCAUAAAGACCUGGUAGAAACUGCCAUGCAGUAUUGAACAUAGACUUGGCCAAACUCCUAAAUCCCCAAAACGGGAUAAUUAAGCAAUAUUGACACUUUUGGGAAUGGUCUGUGGACACAGUUAAGAUGAGUGUGUUUCUUUUGGUGAUCUCACGAAGGAUAAGAAACACAAAGGUAUCUCUUAAAGUGUACAUUUCUCAGCUGUCAGGUUUACAUCUAAAUAUUGUGAAACGUGAUUAAAUAUGAAACUAUUUGUGAAAAGAUGCAAUGUGUUGUUAACCUAAAUGAGAGUAUGAAUUUUCAUAUGAAAAUCAGCUAGUCAGUGGCCACACCCACAUGAGCAUCGACAUUCCGUCGGCAUCAUGGAACCGCCCCUUUCUACUGAAAUGUAUAAAAUCCUGAUGAAAUUCACAGCAGACCACGCAAACUAAGCUAAGGUUGCAAAUGGUUGAAUUUCGAAGACUAGAAAACAUGCAGCUGACGCAACAUGUUGAAAUAGUUGGCACUACAACUCUACCAAAGGACAAGACCAUACCACGCGGAGCAUUGGCUACACGUCUGGAAAUGGUUCAACUCUGAGACUAUCGAUCACUACAGAAUAAGAGCAAAUCUUAGACGUAGAAUUACUAGUCUGCAGCUAGAAAUGACGUAAAUCUAGAACAAGAAUACCAACAACCGUUGACGCAUCUAUGAGAACACUUCCGAAUGGUACUCUGAAGUAUCCAAUUUUACCACGUACAUCCAUGAAAGACAUUGUGACUUCUGGGAAAGUUAACCAGAGACCCUGAUGAACCCUAAAGGACUAUCAAGGAUUCCAACAGUGAAGAAGACAACGACAUAUGGGUGUAAAUAUAUAAAUUGCAACUAUUCUCCUUUUUGUCUACCAAGCCGCCAUAUUGGCUUAGUCCGCUAGGGACUUUUCUAUCAUUGUUAGUUAUCAAUAUCUGUUUGUUUAUGUAUUUCUGUGAUUUAUUUUGUUAGUAAAUAAAUAAUUAAGCCAA